rnacentral:rRNA from 1 species
UACGGAGGGUGCGAGCGUUGUCCGGAAUCACUGGGCGUAAAGGGCGCGUAGGUGGCUUUUCAAGCGCGCUGUGAAAGCCCGGGGCUCAACCCCGGGUCGGCCGUGCGGACUGGGAGGCUAGAGCACUGUAGGGGCGGGUGGAAUUCCGGGUGUAGCGGUGGAAUGCGCAGAUAUCAGGAGGAACACCGGUGGCGAAGGCGGGUCUCUGGGCCGAUACUGACGCUGAGGAGCGAAAGCGUGGGGAGCGAACAGG